rnacentral:pre_miRNA from 1 species
ACUGGAACUGCUGGGUCAUAUGGUAAACUUAUGUUCAGCUUCUUAAGAAACUGCCAAAGUAUUUCCCCAAGUGGUUGUGCCAUUAUGCAUUCCCACCAGCAAU